CGUGGUUAUAUUCUUAAGCUAGCCAACAAAUUUUAUUUAAACAAUUAUGUAGCUUAAGAGUGAUACCAAUAUUGUCAAUAGUGUCUAAUCAUCUUCUGUAGAAGUGAUUUUUAUUUCAGGGGCCUAUCAGAAUUACCUUAGAGGUGUGUCAGUCCUGUCUCUCUCACCACUUGACAGAACCUUUUUCUCAAAUUCUGGUAAUAUCCCUCAAGGAGAGCAGAUCACCCACUCCCUGUUUGAGAAUCACAAGCGAAGAAAGGUUGAGAUUCUCUGCUUUGUGAGGAAAUAUAGUGUGAAUUCUGGUGCAGCAUGUGGCAUUUCAUCUGUCUGCUCCCAAGCUUUUCUUUAAUCCUGCACAUACUGCCUGGGAGAGGGUCUCUUCCCCGCAGGCUAGGACAGAGGUGGAUUGGGGUCAAGUUUGAGAUGUGGACCUUUGGAGCUGAAGACUCCAAUGGGAUUUUCCUGUCUCUGAGGUGGCUUUAAGGGAAACAAGCUCUUUGAAGAGGUGCCCCUUUGCUGCUACUGGCCUAAGCAGUCCUUGUAGCUGUGGAGAUCUAGGGGUGGGCCUGUGAAGGGAAGCAAAGAGGAUUGCCUCAUAUCUUCUGUAGCUACUGAAGUUCCAGGUUGGUAAUCAAGUCACAGAUGCUGGCAGUGGGCACCAAAGAAAAGUAGAAACACAAAUGAAAAUGACUCAUGGGAACCAUAGCUCUGGCAAUCAACAUAUUUUUUGGGGGCCUACUGUGUGCCAAGCAUGCUGCACUUGGCCUUUCAUUUUAUGAAUGGUUCAUAAAUUAGAUGAUGGAGUAUAACGAGACUGCCUUUGCUACAUGCGUCAGAAUACUAGUUGAGCUGUUUGAGGACAGAGGCUGUAUUACUUAUUCCGAGGGCCCAUCAUAAUGCCUGGCAAGGAUAUUCUUGCUAUGUCUGAUAUACAUUGCAUACAUUAAAUUGUUGAAUCCUUCCCACAACCCUUCAAGGAGGCUUAAUUUAGUGAUUAAACAUACAUAGUCUUUAAAUCAGACAGCAAGUGAUCAAAUCUUGAUUUUCCUGGAAUAUGUACCCUUUUUUCUGAUGAAAUGACAGCUCUCCAAGAUAAUAAGACUUAAUUCUGCUACAACAUGCUAAGAAUUGGGAAAAUAAGUAUUUUAGUCACAGUAGCCAAUAGAUAGAUAUAAGCCAGUCUAACUGCUUAGGGUUAUAAUCAAGUUAGUUUAUUUCCUGAAGUCUAUUAUGGGUCAGAAUUUAAAAUUAGCUCUCAUUAGAUGAGGAGCCACUUGAGCGGGAAAGCGGGACAAUGUGGUCUUGGCUAACUCACAUUGCCAAUUAGCUGCUUCGGUUCUGAUUCUGUUUUGUUUUAGCGUCAGCUCAAGGUGAGAUUUUCGUUUAAUCCUGAGUUGUGCACUGAAAUUUCUAAUAGAGAGCUCAGGUGGGUCAGAACAUAGCUUCUUAUCUUUCUUUUUUUUAUGUCUAGAAGUUAUAGCAUUAACCUCAAGUGAGGAAAAAUGAUGAAAUAUCCCAAAACUUUUUGGGGUACCAGGCUGCUAAGGUUCAUGUUGUUAUUUGUUAAUCAGAAAAAAUUCAGUUUUCAUGUGAGCUUUUCUAUUUUGGACCUAAAAUUGAUGAAAGGAACGUUGCAUUAGGCAGUCAGCUUCAUUUUGUCUCACUAAGAGGAUUGUUAAACAUUUUUGUUUUGGUUGGCCAUUUGGUUGUAAUGCAAUUAGUGGGAAAUGUAAAUUUAUGAAUUUUGGAUGAAACAUCUUAAUAUUAGGAAAAUAUUUCUUCUAUAUUGGUUUUCUUAUAUUCUUUAGUUGGAAGUUGAAUAUAUUCAGGGUGAAACAGGGAAAGGUGAGCAGGAGGUCCUAUAUCUUUCUUGCUAUACCACAUGCCUUUCCACAUAAUGAUAAAUAUGUUAUUUGAAGAGCUUUUAAUAAAAUGAGAUCAUGUUAUGUAAAUGUUAAGGGAAAGGAUGACCGUGAAAAAAUAAGUUGAUAAAAUAAAGGACUUAUUGAUGAAUAAGGAGAGAAGAAAUGGGAAUAGGAUCAUUCAGAUUCAAUCUGAAUAGUUCUAUGUGUAUUUUUUAUUUUGUCUUUUAACGGUAGAUGUGAGUAAUCUUUAAAUCAUAGGGCAGAGAAGGGAGAGAAAGGGAGAUUUGGGGAUUGCGCACUGGAUGGCCCUUAAGGAGCCCAGGGUCUGGAGACCCUUUGUUCUUAACCUUGGCAUUGCAUACUAUAAUAAGUUGCCCGGAGUGCUGACUCAGGCUAGCGAUGUGUUCUCUAUCUUUUAAAUAAUUCUUAAAAGUUUUGCCUUUUCUAAACUUUUAUUUUAUUUGUUAAUUUAAAUUUAAUAUUAUUCACUUAUUUCCCUUUGUGUUUUUUUCACCUCUGUUGUGACUCCAAGAACUAUUCUUGUUUGUUCUGCUCCUUUGGACAGUGAGGUGCUUGAGAGCUUAGUCCCCAGAUAGGCCUUUCUUUACUGGAUUUUUUUUUUCACAUUAUAAAAUGUAUAUUGUGUUAAUUUUGAACAAAUUAUCUUUGGAAGGAUAGCAUCUUUUUCAGGGUUAUCAGUCUGUGACAUGUACACCAAACAGAGGCGCAGAAGAAGCCUCACCUUCGAGGUCAGGUAAAUAGUGGUGUGUCCAGGUUUUGCUAUUUGCUAUUCAUUUUUUGUGUGAACUUAACCUUCUUAUGCCCCCAUCUGUAAAAUGGUGGUAGUGCCAGGUUGGCAUGAGGAUUUAAACGAGAGAGUCUAUCUAAGCAUAAAGCAUGGGAUUUGGCAUAUCGUUAGGCGCUCUUUAAAUGAUAGCUUAUGGUGUGGAAGGGUGGAUUGACUUGGAUGGUGUCAUACAAAAUUGUGAAGUGAGUGUAAGUUACUUUUGGUGUCUGUCUACUUCCCUUAUCUGUAUCUCCUUUUAUUACAUCAAGUACCUUUCCUUUUAGUUUAUUUGUUUUAGAAAAAGAUACAGUUUGGGGUUCAGAAUCUUUUUGAGGAGAUAGAUAGAUGUGUUGCCUCUCAACCUUAGAGUCCUGCCAGGUCACUGAAGAAUGGUUUACCUGCGGUAAUCCUGUUAACUGUGCCCUCCUUUCCCCCUGCCUACCCCUCCGCAGAUUGUUAAAGGUUGAUUUGGGUACCUUGAGUCCUUUUUAAAUUUCCUUUUCUUUUUCUCCCACACAUUCUUCUCACAGAGAGGGAGCAUGAACACUCAUCAUAAUUCUGAAAGGUUGGCAGCUUUUGGACCUCAGAGUUAAUUUUACUUUGAGUCACACUUAGAGGGCAUCUUCCAAAUCUUCUGGUUCAUUUCCCUCAUUUAAAAGUAGUGGAAACUACUUUUAUAUACUGUCCUUAAACUGAUUGUUCUGUUAAGAAUGUUUUCAUUUUGAUUCAUCCUUCUUCAGAGUACUUUUAGGAAUAAAGUGCAGUUGACACUCAGAUUAUUUACCUUGCAAAUCAUGGUUUCUAGGUAAAUUAUUGGUGUUAGGAGCAUUUAUGUUUUAUUCUUCAGUGUAAUUUAAACUGCAGAACUAGAUAAGAGCUGGUUGUUAUUGGAGAUACCUGUGUCUUCACUUAGCUAAAUUUUACCUGGAGAAUUGUUCCAAAAUGUAAAUUGAUGACACCCUUCUGUCAUUUACAGCAUUUAUUUCCACCUCUUCUACCUAUGACACUAGGCCCUCCCUCUUUAUAUUAGAGGGUUUUAUAUAACUACUUGUUGUUACUCAUCAUGUGCAGUUUGCUGUCUAGAAAUUCAUAGGACAACAAUAUGAGAAAUGGUACCUAAGAUUUAAGUACUGAUUUAGCUUUUGCUUGUCUCAGGGAAUGGGGUGUGGGACAGAGAAAGAAGGAAGUACUUUAUUUUCUGAAGCACAUUAACAGUUAUCAUUAGAAGAUUCCCUUCAAUCACUUACUUGGGCCCGGAAUUAGAGCGUGAGCCAUGACUGAGAGACUGUGUUUAGGAGGAGUAAUUUAAGGGGAUGAAUGAUUUUUAGGAGAUGAUUGAAGUCAGGAGAAGUCCAUAUAAUGUGGUUUCCUUACAGAGGAUUCAUCUAAUUGGCAAUUUAUGGUGGAAAUAUAUGCUUCAAUAUUGAUCAGCUAUUUAUUCCUUAAUAUUUGUAAUAGGAUAUUUAGUCUAUAUAUUUUUUCUUUUUUAAAUUUUAUUUUUUUGACACGUAAAUGCAUUUGGAGAGGAAGAGGCCCUGAAUGCCACUGUCGAACACCCUACUUGGUGACUGCGUGGGAGACACCAAGCUAUCACUGAUUUUAUCACCAUUCCAUCAUGACUUUGGAAAGCUUAAUUUGCUCAUGACAUAGAUAUCCUUUGCCCACAUGGUAAAGUCAGUGACUUCAUGACUCCACCAAAUCAAUCACACUAUUCUUUAUUUUCUGAUUUGGUGGCGAGAAGAAAAUGUAAAUCCUCAAGUUAAUAACACAGUGAUAUCUUUUAGACAGUAGGGAAAAAGAAAAAACCAACUCUAUUUUCUCUCUGUUUUGGACCAGAGAAAAACUUUGAUUUUGCAAAGUUAUUUUGUAAUUUAACAUCUGUGGGCUCAGAUGAAAUAGGGGAAUUUUUUUUUUUUUUUUUUUUUUUUUUUUGAGUUUGAGUUUGACAUUU